GACGAACGCUGGCGGCGUGCCUAAUACAUGCAAGUCGAACGCAGUGGGGACGGGUGAGUAACACGUGGGUAACCUCCCAUCAGAGGGGAUAACACUUGGAAAAAGCCGCUAAACCGAUACUGAUGGAUGGACCCGCGGUGCAUUAGGUAGGUGGUGGGGUAACGGCGCACCAAGGCCACGAUGCAUAGCCGACCUGAGAGGGUGAUCGGCCACACUGGGACUGAGACACGGCCCAGACUCCUACGGGAGGCAGCAGUAGGGAAUCUUCGGCAAUGGACGAAAGUCUGACCGAGCCACGCCGCGUGAGUGAAGAAGGUCUUCGGAUCGUAAAGCUCUGUUGUUAGAGAAGCGGUAUCUAACCAGAAAGCCACGGCUAACUACGUGCCAGCCGCCGCGGUAAUUC
rnacentral:rRNA from 1 species